AUUGAACGCUGGCGGCAGGCUUAACACAUGCAAGUCGAGCGCCCCGCAAGGGGAGCGGCAGACGGGUGAGUAACGCGUGGGAAUCUACCCAUCUCUACGGAAUAACGCAUGGAAACGUGUGCUAAUACCGUAUACGUCCUUCGGGAGAAAGAUUUAUCGGAGAUGGAUGAGCACGCGUUGGAUUAGCUAGUUGGGGGGGUAAAGGCCUACCAAGGCGACGAUCCAUAGCUGGUCUGAGAGGAUGAUCAGCCACACUGGGACUGAGACACGGCCCAGACUCCUACGGGAGGCAGCAGUAGGAAAUAUUGGACAAUGGGCGCAAGCCUGAUCCAGCCAUGCCGCGUGAGUGAUGAAAGCCCUAGGGUUGUAAAGCUCUUUCACCGGUGAAGAUAAUGACGGUAACCGGAGAAGAAGCCCCGGCUAACUUCGUGCCAGCAGCCGCCGUAAAAC
rnacentral:rRNA from 1 species